AUUGAACGCUGGCGGCGUGCCUAACACAUGCAAGUCGAGCGGUAACAGGUGUAGCAAUACAUGCUGACGAGCGGCGAACGGGUGAGUAAUGCUUCGGAAUCUACCCAAUGGUGGGGAAUAACCAGCCGAAAGGUUGGCUAAUACCGCAUACGUCCCACGGGAGAAAGCAGGGGAUCGCAAGACCUUGCGCCAAUGGAUGAGCCGAAGUCGGAUUAGCUAGUGGUAGGGUAACGGCCUACCAAGGCGACGAUCCGUAGCUGGUCUGAGAGGACGACCAGCCACACUGGGACUGAGACACGGCCCAGACUCCUACGGGAGGCAGCAGUGGGGAAUAUUGGACAAUGGGGGAAACCCUGAUCCAGCGACGCCGCGUGUGUGAAGAAGGCCUGCGGGUUGUAAAGCA
rnacentral:rRNA from 1 species